rnacentral:rRNA from 1 species
CGGGAGUAACGCGUGAGGAACCUGCCUCAAAGAGGGGACGAACAGUUGGAAACGACUGCUAAUACCGCAUAAGCCCACGGCUCGGCAUCGAGCAGAGGGAAAAGGAGCGAUCCGCUUUGAGAUGGCCUCGCGUCCGAUUAGCUAGUUGGUGAGGUAACGGCCCACCAAGGCGACGAUCGGUAGCCGGACUGAGAGGUUGAACGGCCACAUUGGGACUGAGACACGGCCCAG